rnacentral:rRNA from 1 species
GACGAACGCUGGCGGCGUGCUUAACACAUGCAAGUCGAACGGAAAGGCCCUGCUUUUGUGGGGUGCUCGAGUGGCGAACGGGUGAGUAACACGUGAGUAACCUGCCCUUGACUUUGGGAUAACUUCAGGAAACUGGGGCUAAUACCGGAUAGGAGCUCCUGCUGCAUGGUGGGGGUUGGAAAGUUUCGGCGGUUGGGGAUGGACUCGCGGCUUAUCAGCUUGUUGGUGGGGUAGUGGCUUACCAAGGCUUUGACGGGUAGCCGGCCUGAGAGGGUGACCGGCCACAUUGGGACUGAAAUACGGCCCAGACUCCUACGGGAGGCAGCAGUGGGGAAUAUUGCACAAUGGGCGGAAGCCUGAUGCAGCAACGCCGCGUGCGGGAUGACGGCCUUCGGGUUGUAAACCGCUUUCGCCUGUGACGAAGCGUGAGUGACGGUAAUGGGUAAAGAAGCACCGGCUAACUACG